rnacentral:lncRNA from 1 species
GUUCACGCUGCUAUGAGAAUCAAAUGUCCCGCUGAUCCGACAGGAGGUGAAGCUCAGGCGGUAAUGGCUGGCCUGUUGCUCACCUCCUGCUGUGCGGCCAGGCUCGCCACAGACCUAUAGGAUCUGCCGCCCGGGGCUGGGGACGCCUGCUCUAGAGCACUAGCCUGCAAACUUUUUAUUUAAUGGCUGCAGCUCCAGCAUCCAUCUUGGAUUAUGAGGUAAUCUUGAGAAUGGAAGCCAAGCCCUUGGAGGAUUCUCACCAUCCAGAAGUCAUACCAGGUAACGAGGAUGAACAUCAGCUCCUUUCUCAUUUCCUAACCAAUGCUGAACUGCAAAUCUCACCCUCCCUCUGAAUAUCCUUUAGAAACAAUGUGAAAAAUAAAUAUCAUCCUGGAACAGUCAUGUUCAAAGGCCAAGGACUGGUUUUGGUGUGAAACUUUGCCCUGAUCCUGAAGACUCAAGAGAAGCACGAAUCUUUAGUGAUAUUAGGGAUCUGGGAAGUCAUCUAGAUCAGUCCCUUCCUUUUAUUGGAAAGAAAACCAAGGCCCGGGCAUUAAAUGUGUCAUUCAAAGUCACAGAGGCUCUUCAGAGAAGAAGCAAGAAUGGCAAUCUCAGAUCAAUGGAUGUGAACACUUUGGGUCACAUCUGAAGAGCAAAUUCUCUUGCUAACCUUUCUCCCUAGUCUGUCACCCUUUUUUCUAGCUUACACUCCUACCGUGUGCCAAGAUAAAUUUAAAUACAUUAAUAUUUAAUUUACACAACCAUUUUACAAGGUAGAGACAGUGGGAGAACAGCCUUGAAGAACAAAAAAAAGAGUGGUGAGAACUUGUCUGGAAUUUGUUGAACAGUCUCUACUUACCAAGAAGCCAGAGAAAAGUUUGGCUGACCUCCAAGCAAGCUGCACAAGCUCAUGCUCAUUAAAGGCUCAUAAAGAUGCUAUUAGGGAUUACAAAGGAUCUGGCCAUGGUCCCCAUGGUUCUAGCUGCCACUGGUUUCCCAUAGAGCCCUAGGCUGGAUACAAUCUGUAGUGUCCCUGGAAAAGCACAGGUGGAUUCUGUAUACUUUGUGGUCUGAAUAUUCUUCACCUAAUGACAACAGAUGUGGUAGGUAGAAUAACACUCCCUCCUACCAAAAACAACAACAACAACAGCAACAAAAACCCAUAGAUGUCUACCUUCUAACCUACGGAACCUGGUAAUACAUUAAUUACAGGGUAAAAUGGUAUUAAGAUUGCAGUGGAAAUGAAAGUUGCUAGUCAUUUUACCUUAACAUAGCAAAGUAAUCCCAGAUUAUCUCAGUGGACCCAAUGUAAUUACUAGGAUCCUUAAAAGUGGAAGACAGAAUUGAAAGAGAGAACUAUGCAGUAUCAUUAAAACUUCUUGGUCUGAUGUUACUGACUUUGAAGAUGGAGGAAGGGGGCCAUGAGUGAGCUAAGGAAAGAAGGUGGCCCUAAACAAGCUGGAAAAGGCAAGAAAACAGUUCUUGUCCAAUGGAGUAAAUCCCAUGACAUAAAUCGAUGUGUGAAGUUUCCUUGACAAUCAGCAGAUUGGCAUAAACUUGUUACUUCAUUCUUCUUAGCAAGCACGAGAAUAGUGUUACAAACAGUGUUGGAAAUUUCCUAAUCCGUAUGCUUCAUUUUGAGGCUAUUAUUCACCGCUGAUGUUGUUUCCAGUCCUUGACUGCUCUCUGAAGCUUCACAUUUGAAAAAUUAUUAUAGCUACAGUAGCACAUGGUCAAUCUCAUGUUUGUUUGAUUAAAAUAUUGUAGAGACCAACAUGCAGGAGCUAGCAAAGUAGUAAUCAUCUAUUCUGAGGUCAAGCAGGAUAACUACUCUUCCUAAGAAUAUUUCGUCCCUUGAAAGAAGUUCUGGCAAGGGUCUCCCUCUGUUGCUGCCCAGGCUCCAGGCUGAAGUGCAGAGGCAUGAUCUUGGCUCACUGCCGCCUCCUCUUCCCAGGCUCAAGCGAUCCUCCCACAUUUGCCUCCUGAGUAGCUGAGACUACAGGCAAGUGCCAUCAUGCCCCACUAAUUUUUGUACUUUUUGUAGAGAUGAGGUUUUCCCACCCUGCCCAGGCUGGUCUUAAACUCCUGGGCUCAAGCGAGCUGCUUGCCUCGGCCUCCUUAAGUGCUGGGAUUACAGGUGUGAGCCACUGUGCCCAGCCCUCUUCACAAAAUUUCUAAGCAGCUUUCCAACUCGGUUGUUCUAGGUUAACUUCCCAAUUGUAAUCUCCAGGAAUGAAAAUUGCACUAAAUCCUGUUCAAAUACUUUUAAAUAGAUACAAGCCUUCAUGUACUGUUGGGAUGUCUUGGCUGACUCUCACAGGUAUCUGUUCUCAUCACACUCAAUCUUUUUCAGGAUCAGCUGUCAUAUUUGUCAAUAUCUUUUUUUCUUAAAGAAAUUUAUUUUCCUUAUUUUCAUCUUUUCUACCUGGCUGUUCAUUCUAGAUUAUUUGCUGGCCCUCUUUGUCUGAUUGACCUCCAAAUAUUGGAAGAGUUAAAGGUUCAGUUUUUGGCCUUUUUUGUUAAACUUCCAAUAAUUUCUCUUUAGGUCCAGUCCCAUCUCUAGUGCUAUAGUAUUUCCUAAACUUUGGAUUCUCAUACAGAGCUUCCAGUAGACCUUUCCUGAGGAUUACAAACUGAGCAGGUUCAUACCAUAACAAUUAAGAUUCAAUCUUUCCCAUUUUACCUAAUGUCAACACUUCUGCGAAGUUUCCAAUCUAAGACCUGGGUGUCAUCCCUGAUUUUCCACACACCAAGUCCAUUGGCACAACUUGUUGGUUUACUUUUAAUUUAUAUUCAAAAUCUCAUUACACUAAAUCAUUUUCACUUCCAACAUUCAAGUCCCAGUUAACUUCAAUAUCCUUCUAUGAACUGAAAUAAUGUAUUCCCCUACCCCAGCCUUUUUCUGAAAGAAAUAAUCUAAAGCAGUACUGAGAAUAUUUUGUUAUAUAUUUUGCCAUCUAUGUAAUAGAAAAUACGCUGAAUGUUAAGCAAAAUGCAUCUAUCAUUUUCUUGCUACCAUGACAUUGGUUGAGAAUGUGAUUAUCUUAUACUAUCUUGGUGUGUCUCCAAAUAUUAAGCCACUGGGCUUACUAUUAGGUGCUAGAUAAAUAUGUAUUUUGUGCUGGCACAGAGUAGGCACUAAAUAACAAUUGCUUUCAAAUGGGUAAUGAAAAGACAUUUUUCCCCAUUAAUUGAUUAUUAGGAGCACAAGCAUCAUCUGAAAUAAUUAUUUAAACACAAAUAAAUUUUCAAGUGAUCUUGAAGAAUAUGGGGUUUUGUUUUCUUUUCCAGUAAAGUUGCACUUGUCAGCUCUGGGUUUCUGUUAUUCUGAGAUCUCUUAUAAUUUGCUGAGAGAACAAAUGAACUGUAAUAAUUAUAAUGCAUUUUUUAUAAUUGGUGUCACACUUUUGCCUGGUAAACAAUUACAAUAUCAACAAAAUACUGAAUGAAUGAUUUUGCCCCUUUGCUUUUUAGAACUGUGAGGAUAACCUCUAUAUUUUCAAAUGCCAAAUAUAUGUUUAUGUCAUAUUUUGGUGUCAUGUACCACUGUGUUGGAUAUUAUUUUUAAUGUGGCUCAUUGAAAUGUCACAUGUUAUUUGUUUUCCUUUUCAUUAUAUACGGAAAAAUAGUCACAAAGUGGAGUAAAGAUUAUCACUGAUCACUGCCUUUACCAAUUUUCUUAAAAAUGGAAAUAUAAAGUAAACACAGAAUUCUGGAAAAUAAGAUAUAUUUUGAUUAUUGAUUUUAACUUUUUAAGCUUUCACUGAAGUAUGAUACAUAUAUACAUUCACAUAUGAGUUUAACAUUCACAGUCAGUUUUUACAGAGUUUUAUAUAACUGUGCAAAAGGCAUCAAGAUCACAAAGUAGACUAUUAUCACCACAUUAUAAGAUCUCACCUUCCCAUGACUCUCCUAGUUAUUAACCCCCUCCCACAGGUUAACCACUAUUUUGACUUUAAGCAAAAUAGAUUCAUCUUGUUUGUUUUAGAAAUUUACAUAAGUGAAAUUAUAUAUUAUGUUCUCUUGUACAUAUAUUUUUCCACUAAAUAUUAUGUGAAUGAUAUUCCUUAUUGUUGCACAAACUUGAAGAUUGUUGUCAUUGCUAUACAGUAUUUCAUUGUUUGUAUAUAGUGUAAUUUAUUUUUCCAUUCUACUGUUGACAUACACUGGAGAAAUUUCUAGUUUUUGGCUAUUAUAAAUAGUUCUACUGUGAACACAUAUGUACUUUAAGGUGUACAUACUAGAAUAAAAUAUUUUUGUCAUAGCAUAUGCAUAUGUUUAACUUUAGUAUACACAUUCAAACACCUUGCAUACAGGUUGCACCACAUUGUUCACCUACAAGUAGGGUAUGAGAGUUCUGGUUUCUCUCGAUCUUUGCUAACAUUUGCUAUUACAUUAUUAUUAUUAUUAUUAUUAUUAUUAUUUACUCUUUAGCUAUCCUGCAGAGUGUAGCAGAAUGAAGAUGCAUUGUAAUUCUAAUUUGUAUUUAUCUGAUGAUUAUUAAAG